ACUGGAUAAUGCGGUUCCUGAUGUAUUUGGCUGCCCACUCGCUGGCCUGCAAAUAGUUUUCCAGGAUGAUGAGCUUCAUCUUGUCACGAACCCCUCCCACUG